GGAAGUAAAAGUCGGAACAAGGUUUCCGUAGGUGAACCUGCGGAAGGAUCGUUCAUAAUAAAGUGUUUUAUGGCACUUUUUAAAAAUCCAUAUCCACCUUGUGUGCAAUGUUAGAUCUCGUCAAUCUUGGCGAGAUUUUUAUACAUCAACUCAUUCUUUAACUAAUUUGUCUGAAAAAUAUUAUGAAUACUUAAUUCAAAAUACAACUUUCAACAACGGAUCUCUUGGCUCUC
rnacentral:misc_RNA from 1 species